UGUGUGUGCACGGGCGCGUGGCUAGGCGGGCGGGCACACACUCGCACACGCACUCGCACACACAUGCUUGUGCCCCUCCCACUCCCUCUCCUGCUGCGGGGGGGCUGGCAGGGAGACAGCCCCAGUUCUAACUGGAACUGGCCGCCUGUCCUUCUAACAAGGGCAUAAACUUUCAUUACCCAUGCACGCAGUCAAAGACAAUUUAGGGAAACGCGCUGCUCGGAAAAGGAAAACCUCAGCGAUUCGUGACCUACGCCGCCGCCGCCAUCUGGGGGGCUCUCGUCUCCAGCUCCAGGGAGUUGGGGCCCUGAACCUCUGGCCCUGCCCACCGCGGGGUGGGGGGCCUCAGGGCAGCCGGCAGAGGGAGGGCAGAGGGAGGGCAGGGGCCCUGCCCUGGCUGGCCGAGAGCACCCGGGCGGGCCAGCCAGGGGACAGGCCCCCUCGUGCUCUCCCCCCACACCCCCUCACUAGCCCCACCGGCCACGGGCCCUUGAGGGCAGGCACAGGGCUCGUGCCUUUCUGACACCCAGUGCUGGCACAGAGCAGAAGCUCGGCUCUGCAGAUGAAUGGACGGACGGUUGGAUGGAAGGACUGAGCGAAGACACAGUUAGGAAACCAGGCCCAGAUGCCCUCAGGCCCCAGCAGGACACCGGCGAUGCUGGGGAAGGCUCCCUCUCCAGCCCCUCCUCCUGAUGGGCAGCAGAGGGGACGAUCCUGCAGCCUCCGCCGCCUUGCCGUCUGGGGACAGUGCCUGCCCCCCCACCCCUGUACCACGCUCGGGCACCGGGACUGUGGCAGCUUCCAGAUCAGACAAAUCGACACGAGGAACUCGGUCCUCUAACAGCUCGCCACUUGUAAGAACCUAGUUAGGUCUGUGCCCGGGCCUCGGUGUCCUCGUCUGAAACAGGACUGCUGAAAGAAUGGCGUCGAGGGACGUGUCUGCAGGGAACAAGUGGGGCCUGCCCAGACAGCAACUGUGGGCGGGGAGGGGGAAGGCGCUUCCUCCGGGACCAGAGUCCAGCCUCCCCGAGAUCUAGGAUCUCCCUAGAUCUCCCACAGCCCCGCUCUCUCCUUGGGCCAUCAGCUGUCCGGGUGACUGAGACCCGAAUGCCCGCGCCUGUGCCCUCGCCCCAGAGCAUCUCCUGGGAGGCGUCCCUGGCCCCGGUGAGCCUGACCCUCGGCAGAGCAGAAGCGCGCCUCCGUGGCCUUGGGGGCAGCAGCCAGACAGCACCCCUGCAGUAGCCGGGCCACCCCAGCCCGCGGUGGGGACCCAAGGGGAGCCCACCCUCCCCUUCUUCUGUGUUCAGAUCCCCACCCCACCCCCCAAACUGUCAUUAAAAUAACAAGUUUCUGUUACAA